AGAGUCCAUAUCGACGACUAGGUUUGGCACCUCGAUGUCGGCUCAUCGCAUCCUGGAGCUGGAGAAGGUUCCAAGGGUUCGGCUGUUCGCCGAUUAAAGCGAUACGCGAGCUGGGUUCAAAACGUCGUGAGACAGUAGAGAUCAUGCUGUCUAUAAAUUUAGCUAUAUCGGUGAAACUCUGCAGUAGAAAAUGCAGACAAUACCGAGGGAAGACUUGUAGCGCGCUGAUUUAUCAGCUCGAGCCCAUAAAUGGGCACUACAUAGAACCCGUAGAGACUAUACGCUAGACAUUCGUUUGCAAAAACGAUAAAGAUAUAGUCCGAACUCUUAUGGUGACAUAGAGAGCAUGGCAGAAAUGUCCAUGUCACGUAGUUUGGAAUUUAGAAUUUUGAAUUUCGAUAUUAUUUAGAUAUUAGAAAUUUGAAAUUAGAAAUUCUUUGUUACGAAGUAACAAAGUGUUGGUCCUUAUCUGUUGUGGGUGUUCGAAACUUGAGUGGGCGCAUCCUUAGUACGAGAGGACCAGGAUGCAUAGACCUCUGGUGUACCGGUUGUCCCGUCUGGGGCAUAGCCGGGUAGCUAGGUCUAGUUUAGAUAAACGCUGAAUGCAUAUAAGCGUGAAGCUGUCCACAAAACUAGGUUUCGUUGUCGUGCCUCACUAUCGUUCGGCACGGUAGCGAUACUAAUCUACGAAUACAUACUAAUUAUACGAAUAGCCAACCCCCGGGUUAGUUAUUAGUAUCAUUAGUAAAAUUAGUAUAUUAGCAUCGAUACUCGUGGUGAGCGGCAGCGAGGCACGAUGAGAGGUUCGGGGAAGACUACCCCGCAUAUAGGCAGCAGGUGUAAGUGUGGUAACACAUUGAGCCGAGCUGUACUAAUCAACCGAAAGUUUAAU
rnacentral:rRNA from 1 species